rnacentral:rRNA from 1 species
CACGGGGGUUGCGAGCGUUGUCCGGAAUUACUAGGCGUAAAGGGCAGGCAGGCGGAUCCAUAAGUUUAUCGUUUAAGGCGUCGGCAUAACCGGCGUAGGGCGGUAGAUACUGUGGAUCUGGAAUGCGGUUGGGGAAGACAGAAUUCCUGGUGUAGCGGUGGAAUGCGCAGAGAUCAGGAGGAAUACCGAAGGCGAAGGCAGUCUUCCAAGCCGUUAUUGACGCUCAACUGCGGAGGUGUGGGUAUCAAACAGGAUUAGAUACCCUGGUAGUCCCU